AGUCCGAUUCGUUGGAUUGGAGGACCGCGCGUCAUCCAGAACCGAAGCUCCGCAGCUAGGACCCAAACGUGACCUUCUUUCUCCGGCCCGGCGCUGUUUGUGUUUUCAUCUUAUUAGUAAUAAUUUCCUAUUUGCUUCCCUGACAUAGGUAGAUUUCUGUCCUGGUUCGGCCGUAACCCUAGUGCGGUGGCGGAAUCGGAAUGUCCGCCGUCGAGGCUGAAGACUUCACAAACCCUCUGCAUGCUGUCCCGGCACCGAAGACGGCGGCGGCUAGGGAUGCGGGCCCCGGCCCGGCCCCCGCCCCCGCCCCCGCCCCCGCCCCGCUGGAGCCGCCCUCGAGCGACCCCCGCGUGGUGGCUUUCCGCGAGAUCCUGAGCCGCGUGCCGGCGUCGGAGGUGGAGGCGGUGCUGUCGCGGUGCGGGUUGGCGCCUCUGCCGGAGGUGGUGGAGGCGGUGCUCCGGCAGUCGUACGCGUCGCCGGCGACGGCCGUGCGGUUCUUCCGGUGGUCGGGGCUGAAGGCGAAGCACACGGCGGGGGCGUGGAACCUGAUGGUGGACGUCCUGGGCAAGAACGCGCUGUUCGAGCCCAUGUGGGACGCCAUCCGCUCCAUGCGGCAGGAGCCCGGCGCCCUGUCCGUCGCCACCUUCGCCUCCGCCUUCUCGUCCUACUGCUCCCUCGGCCGCGUCAAGGAGGCCGUCAUGACCUUCGACGUCAUGGACCGCUACGGCGUCCCCCAGGACGUCGUCGCCGUCAACUCCCUCCUCAGCGCCCUGUGCCGCGCGGACGGCCGCACCGCCGACGCCGCCGCCUUCUUCGACCGCGUCAAGUCCAAGAUCCCUCCCGACGCCGACACCUUCGCCAUCCUCCUCGAGGGCUGGCAGAAGGAGGGCAACGCCGCCCGCGCCAAGACCACCUUCGGCGAGAUGGUCGUCCGCGUCGGAUGGAGCGACGCCUUCCUCUCCACCCUCGUCCGCGGCGGCCUGGCCGAGGAGGCCGUCAAGUUCCUCAAGGUCAUGAAGGGCAAGGGCCGCCUCCCGGGCCUCAAGUUCUUCAGCUCCGCCCUCGACAUCCUCGUCGAGCAGAACGACCACGCCCACGCCCUCGCCCUCUGGGCCAUCAUGGUCCUCGACGGCGGCCUUGUCCCCAACCUCGCCAUGUACAACGCGAUGAUAGCCCUCCUCUGCGGCGCCCGCGACGUCAACUCCGCCUUCCGCCUCCUCGACGAGAUGCCCUUCCACUGUGCCUUCCCCGACUCCCUCACCUACAACACCAUCUUCGACUGCCUCCUCAGGAAUAGGAUGCCCCGCGAGGCUCACUCCUUCUUCAAGGAGAUGAGGAAGAACGAGCAGCUCCCGUCUUCCCCCAACUGCAUUGCAGCCAUCAGGAUGUUCUUCAACGAGUUUGACCCCACCGCAGCGCUCGAGCUGUGGAACUGUGUUCUCGAGGAGAACUUCUUUCCCCCCGACGACUGCGCCAACGAGCUGCUCCUAGGGCUUUGUGACUUGGGUAGGUUGGGCGAGGUGAGGAAGUACGCAGAGGAUAUGCUUGACCGGGAAGUCGAGCUUCGGCCCUCCACCAUGGAGAAGAUGAAGACCGCCUUUCACAAGGCCGGAAAGCUUGACUCCUAUGAUCGUCUUGCAAGGAGGAUGAGGCAUUAUUAGGAGGAACCAUCCAGCUGAGACAACAGUAUAUUUGGAGAUAUCUGACAGAGAUAUAGGGGAAUGGAGAUGUGGGAGAAGAAAUGAGGCACAUUCUGCAGCUACAAGAAAGAACAAAGAAGGAAAUGAGAUACACUCUGCGAGUACAGGGAAGAACAAAGAAGGAAAUGAGAUACACUCGGCGAGUACAGGGAAGAACACAGAAGAGAAGGUGCUGAAUUAGUUUAGGUUUAUGAAGUAUAUUCCUGCAUACCAUGUAAACAACCAGUCGUGUGGAACGACCGAGUUACUUGGUUAAGCAUAUCCUUUGGGUAAUACAGAGCCACCGCUGUGCAACGUAGGUUGGUAGCACGCGAGUUUGGAAAAUGUUGUUUAUUAUGAUAUGAGAUGGGGUCUGAUGCAAUUAAGGUGAUCAGCUGUCUGCUAUUAUGGUUAAGGUUCAUUUGCACGAGUAUUAUGAUUGCAACAAUACAUGGUAGCUGUCAUACAUGCAGGAAUUGGAGAAACAGCAGUUCAAAUUCACAUGGACCAAAAUGCAGUGAAAUUUUUUUCCUGAUAUUCUGAUGUAUUUAACUUGAGCGGUAAUGAUCUUUUUCAUGAUUUGCUAAGAUUGAUUCGUGGUUUUCUGGCUGUUAUGAGAUCUAGCAAAUGAAUACACAAAUUGCUCAGCAAUAGAUGCAACUUCGCACCUGUAGGGAAA